AUUGAACGCUGGCGGCAGGCUUAACACAUGCAAGUCGAGCGGGGAAAGGUAGCUUGCUACCUGACCUAGCGGCGGACGGGUGAGUAAUGCUUAGGAAUCUGCCUAUUAGUGGGGGACAACAUUCCGAAAGGAAUGCUAAUACCGCAUACGCCCUACGGGGGAAAGCAGGGGAUCUUCGGACCUUGCGCUAAUAGAUGAGCCUAAGGCAGAUUAGCUAGUUGGUGGGGUAAAGGCCUACCAAGGCGACGAUCUGUAGCGGGUCUGAGAGGAUGAUCCGCCAAACUGGGACUGAGACACGGCCCAGACUCCUACGGGAGGCAGCAGUGGGGAAUAUUGGACAAUGGGCGAAAGCCUGAUCCAGCCAUGCCGCGUGUGUGAAGAAGGCCUUUUGGUUGUAAAGCACUUUAAGCGAGGAGGAGGCUACUUGGAUUAAUACUCUAGGAUAGUGGACGUUACUCGCAGAAUAAGCACCGGCUAACUCUGUGCCAGCCGCCGCGGUAA
rnacentral:rRNA from 1 species